ACGGAAGGCAGCAGUGGGGAAUAUUGCACAAUGGGGGAAACCCUGAUGCAGCGACGCCGCGUGAGUAAAGAAGUAUUUCGGUAUGUAAAGCUCUAUCAGCAGGGAAGAAGAUGACGGUACCUGACUAAGAAGCCCCGGCUAACUACGUGCCAGCAGCCGCGGUAAUACGUAGGGGGCAAGCGUUAUCCGGAUUUACUGGGUGUAAAGGGAGCGUAGACGGCAGAGCAAGUCUGAAGUGAAAGCCCGCGGCUCAACUGCGGGACUGCUUUGGAAACUGUUAAGCUAGAGUGCUGGAGAGGUAAGCGGAAUUCCUAGUGUAGCGGUGAAAUGCGUAGAUAUUAGGAAGAACACCAGUGGCGAAGGCGGCUUACUGGACAGUAACUGACGUUGAGGCUCGAAAGCGUGGGGAGCAAACAGGAUUAGAUACCCUGGUA
rnacentral:rRNA from 1 species